CCCUUCGUGGUGUAGCGGUUAGUACGCUCGACGCGUAACCGAGAGUCCGUGGUUCGAUUCCCGGCGAAGGGU
rfam:Stegodyphus mimosarum contig22233, whole genome shotgun sequence.